AGUUUGAUCAUGGCUCAGAUUGAACGCUGGCGGUAUGCUUAACACAUGCAAGUCGAACAGUAGCAGGCCUUCGGGCGCUGACGAGUGGCGGACGGGUGAGUAACGCGUAGGAACCUGCCUCAUAGUGGGGGACAACGUGGGGAAACUCACGCUAAUACCGCAUACGCCCUACGGGGGAAAGCGGGGGAUCUUCGGACCUCGCGCUAUGAGAUGAGCCUGCGUUAGAUUAGCUAGUUGGUAGGGUAAAGGCCUACCAAGGCGACGAUCUAUAGCUGGUCUGAGAGGACGAUCAGCCACACUGGGACUGAGACACGGCCCAGACUCCUACGGGAGGCAGCAGUGGGGAAUAUUGGACAAUGGGCGCAAGCCUGAUCCAGCAAUACCGCGUGUGUGAAGAAGGCCUUAGGGUUGUAAAGCACUUUCAAUUGGGAGGAAAACCUGUCGGUCAAUACCCGGCAGCUUGACAUUAUCUUUAGAAGAAGCACCGGCUAACUCCGUG
rnacentral:rRNA from 1 species